rnacentral:rRNA from 1 species
CAGCCGUAAACUAUGCUCGCUAGGUGUCAGGGACGGUGCGACCGUUUCUGGUGCCGCAGGGAAGCCGUGAAGCGAGCCACCCGGGAAGUACGGUCGCAAGGCUGAAACUUAAAGGAAUUGGCGGGGGGAGCACUACAACGGGUGGAGCCUGCGGUUUAAUUGGACUCAACGCCGGACAUCUCACCAGGGGCGACAGCAGAAUGAUGGCCAGGUUGAUGACCUUGCUUGACAAGCUGAGAGGAGGUGCAUGGCGUGUG